UCUGUGCCAGCAGCCGCGGUAAUACGGAGGAUCCAAGCGUUAUCCGGAAUCAUUGGGUUUAAAGGGUCCGUAGGCGGGGUAAUAAGUCAGUGGUGAAAGUCUGCAGCUCAACUGUAGAACUGCCAUUGAUACUGUUAUCCUUGAGUAAUUAUGAAGUGGUUAGAAUAUGUAGUGUAGCGGUGAAAUGCAUAGAUAUUACAUAGAAUACCGAUUGCGAAGGCAGAUCACUAAUAAUUUACUGACGCUGAGGCACGAAAGCGUGGGGAGCGAACAGGAUUAGAAACCCGUGUAGUCC
rnacentral:rRNA from 1 species